UUCCUGCCAGUUCAUUAGAGCAACACUUUCAYGGCAAUGCAUCUGCUGGGGGUGCUUUUCAUCACGAAGGCUUGACUGUGGUGGAAGAUGGAGAAACAAAAUGCUUCAGCUGAGGAUGAAUGAGGGCUUUAAUUUGGGUCUGUCAGCAAGGGGUUAAGUGGCUACAUCUCCAGCUUAUCCAAAGGCUCAUGUUCCCUCAGCCUGCUGUGCCCAAGGUGGGUCACAGCUCUCACAUCUGUCUAGGGACAGACUGCAACAGCACUCAUCCUGAACUUAGAAAGACACCAGAAUUGCAACCCUGGAUCUUCAGAGAAAUGCAUCAAUCCCCGGGURGGUCCUAAGAGAGUGCCCAGGGAUAUGUGAGGAAGCUGAGGUGUCAAUCUCCCCUCUGUUUUCUUCGAACACCAGUUUUGUAAGGCAAAUUUUAAAUGGAUCAAGACAAAGUUAAGAGGCUUGGCAUAAGGUCCACAAACUCAAUCCAGUGACACAUGGUUUUCAUUUAUUUGGUUAUCAAAGCCUAUUUCUUGAUGCACAGGGCAGAAGCAAGAAUAUUUUCCUUUCUAAAGGCCAAUGUUUGUAAGUUUGGCAAAUAACUACCUGUUAUUAUACUGUUAUACAUUUCCUUUUCUUACUAUCUGCUAAAAACACUUAGUUUAUAUAACAACAGUUUUCACCAUCUAYAUCACCACAAAUUAAAAAUCACCUAUAGACACAGAGAUUUUCUUGCAGUCUCUCUCUAUUUGACACCCACCUGUUUAUGAAGUGCUUUCAGUACACGUAUUCUUGGCAGCUCACAGAUCCAAAAAUAUCCAGCUGCUUUACCGAUCUAAUGAGAGCAGUACUUGUAGUCAUGAAGAAAUACUGCCCUUAAAUUUUGCUAAAUAUUCACAAAUUCUGCUGAUUCACACUGGGGUGACCAAAGAGGAUUCACAGACUGUCUGCCUUCCUUGCCCUCUCUCUGGCACUGGGGGAUGGACAGGCAGUGCUCCUGCUCCUCUGCCCCCAUGAGUAUCACUGUCUUCUUGCUGCUGUCCAUAAAGAGACAUAGCAGCUCUUGGGUUCAAUUUAUCRUAUCCACACACAGAUGUCCAAAGCCACCCAGAUGACAUACUUGCUAAAAAAUUAUCUAUUUCCCUACCAGUGAUUACAAAGGGAUGCCGAGUCACUGCCUCAUAUUUAGGUGUCUUUGGUGUUGACGAGUUAAGCAGAUGAGACMAAUCCUACCCAAGCAUCCCAGCUGAGCAGAUGACAAGCACCUGUUUAUUCUUUACUUUAUUACUGUUCAUUACUGCUGGCAAACUCCUAGGUGCUCCCUGUUCUCUGUGACCACAGAGCCUCUGGAGCUCACAUCUGACUCAGCAAUUGGUGGAGAGCAAGGCUUGAACCGUGAGGCCAGGAGCAUGGAAAGAAGGUCAUUUCAAGCUGGUAACGGAGGUAGACUCCACUGCUGACUCCAAAUCACCYGACAGAGAUUUUGCUGAAAGCAAACUAGAUAGUUGUCCUUCUGAGCUUCUCCUGACCAGGCUUUCACUCAGAAUCAAUUAGGUUGGAAAAGACCUCUGAAAACAUCAWGUCCAAGCUUUAACUGAACACCACCAUGUCAACAAGACCAAGGCACUAAGUGACAUAUCCAGUCUUUCCUUAAACACCUUCAGGGACAGUGACUCCACCGCAUUCCUGGGCAGCCCAUUCCAAUGUCUAAUCACCUCUUCUGUGAAGAAUUUCUUUCUAAUGUCCAACCUAAACCUCCACGGCAGAGCUUAAGACUGUGUCCCCUUGUCCUAUCACUGGUUGCCUGGGAGAAGAGACCAACCCYCUUUGACUACAACCUCCUUUCUGAGUGUUCUAAACAGCAGUAAGGUCUACUGUGACCCUCCUCCAGGCUAUACACCUCCAGCUCCCUCAGCCACUCCUCMUUGGCAAUGUGCUCCAGAUCUUUCCCCAGCUGUUUGUCUUCUCUGGAYUCGCUCCAGCAGCAAGAUGUUCUUAYAGUGAGUGGCACAAAACCAAACACAGGAUUCAAGGUAUGGCCUCACCAGUGCUGAGUACAGGGGGACAAUCCCUGCUCUGGUCCUGCUGGCCACACUAUUGCUCAUACAGGCCAGGAUGCCAUUGGCCUUCUUGGCCACCUGGGCACACUCUGGCUCAUGUUCAGCUGCUGUUGACCAGCACCCCCAGGUCCUUUUCCAACAGRCAGCUUUCCAGCCACUUAUCCCUCAGCCUGUAGCAUUAUGUGGGGGUGUUGUGGCCAAAGUGUAGAACCCAGCUCUUGGCCUUGUUGAACCUUAUGCCUUUGGUCUUGACCCAUCAAUCCAGCCUCUCCAGAUCCCUUUGCAGAGCCUUYUUGGCCUCCAGCAGAUUGACACUCUGACCCAGCUGGGUGUCAUCUGCAAAUUUGCUGCAAGGUGUGUUUUGUCUCAAGGCUGCUCUAUUGUGCAGUGGCCUCUGCUCCGAAUGUCCUUGGACUUCCUCUUCCAGGGACAAGAUGAUCAGUGGUKGCAGUCUGGUUGAUUUGUAAAAUAAUGCAGCCACUGGUUUAGCUCUGUAAGUAGUAGGCAGCAGUUCUCUCAUGAAGCCUUGGCCUUCUGAGGCUUUCUUUCCUCUUUUGAGUGCCACAGUGUGUGUGAACAUGGUGAACUGGCAUUUCUCUUGUCAGAGGUCUAUCCCUUUUGCAAUCUGACUGUACUCUGCAAAUACUUUCCUCUGGUUGUCACUUGCAGUGUCUUUUGUCURAGUAAGUGAUUCCUUACAAUACUGGAGAAUUGCCAGUAGGUCCUCAAGAGAAAUGGUGUUUGUGUCAUCAUCUGAAGAUUGCUUAAAUGGCCCAAAUAUCAACACUUGCUGCCAGCUCGUCACUUUGGAAUCAGCAGGGCCUUUAAAUCAACAAGCAUUUACUGUCUCCAGCGUUUGCUCCAUGCCAUGAAAUGAGAAGCAGUUGUUUGUUUUUCCUGCUUUCUUCCCCAGCUGACAUUUGUACUCUGGCUGUGCAGUUGUCAUGCUACUUGCAGUACACCUCUGUGAGUUUGUCCUUGGUCACAAUGUGGCAGCUCUCCUGGGUACUGGCACCUGGGCUGCCAUGAGCACUUGUCAGGUUGGAGAGCACCUUCUGCKAUAGGCAGGGGGCAAUUCUGUGAGUAAGGCAGAAGUGAAAUAUUACUUGGUGUCCAACCCUAUGGURUUAAUAUGUUCUUCAAUUAGAGAGAAAUCAGCUGGGAAGAUGUGUCACGUACAAGAUCCUGUACUGGGCUAAGGGUGUUGGACCAGGUGAUCUUUCUCCACCUCCUUAUGCACUCUGUGGUUUGGUACCAUGCUAAUGACAGUAUUAUAUGUGAUCCGGAUUUAUUGAUGGUCACUAAUUGCUAAAAAUGGAGCAGAGAUGGAAAGUAUUAUUAGUAUUAUUUAGUAUUCAGUUCUCCUAACUUGAAGCCUUUGGCUGAUGAAAACAAAAGCAUAUGCUGCAGCUCUUGCUCUGCACAUUCUGCAAAGUCAGGGUAUCCCUGGCAUAGAUUGCUGAAGGACAGGUAAUUUUAGUUAAAAAUAAACCCAGAGCAAUCAUGAGAGGCUUGUAAAUUGAUGUGGUGUAUUUCCUGAGCACCAGCUCCCAUCAGGAUUACUCUGGAGAUCUGUCAGUGUCAUCCAUCAUUAGAGUCCCAUCGCUCUAAUGAUUCAUUUCAUAUUAAAGUGGCUCCAGUUGCUGGGAAGAUUCUGCAUGUGCAAACUGUGAAAAAGUAUUAGUGUUUUUAACUUCAGGUGUUCCCUUCAUACCUAUGGUGCCCUGGAGGAUAGGCCAAGUAGCUUCUGCAGAAUAAAAUCCUAUUUCAUCCUUUGGCUGCAUUCAAAGCAAAAUGUUUUCCUUUGCUGCAGUCUUUCAAACUCCAUCAAGUUCUUUUGAUGAUGUUUAAAAGAUUAGCUGUUUUAUAAAGCUGACAUUCCCAUCCAUAUUAAUGUUUAUUAAAAGGCUUUUAGGCCCGACUUAAAUAAUGAAAUCUGCCCUUGAGACAGAGGUACCUCCGUGAUUGCCUUGGCCAGCAGCACCAUGGGAAAAGAGCUCUGACUCAGAGUCUCACUUCAGGGGCUGGUUCCCCUUCGGUCCAAGGGGAAUUUCUACAUAUGAACUCUUUCCCAGACAUAGGUUACUUCCCUCUUCACACAGGGUCAGCACUGUUCCCGUGCAGACUUUGCUGUAUUUUCCCCCUCUUCCCCUUCUCCUGGCCUCUGUGCUCCUCUGCCCUGGUGCAUGAGGAUUUACAUCAGUGAAAACUGUUACCACUCCUUUAGACAAAAACAUCUCCUCUGUACAUGCAGAAGCAGGAAGUCAGACGUCUGAAUAGUCUUCCCACAAAUUUCAAGAAUUACUCACAUUCAUUGUCAUCCUCUCUGGGCUGCGCUGCCUGGGGCAUCCGUGGGCUCUGAGGAGAGCUGGGGUCACACCCAUCAACUUGAGGAAGAGCUCAAACCUGUUUAUCCCAGGGCAGACACUUGACAUGUCCCAGAUUUUGUCCCUGCCUCCCAUACCCCAUGAGGUCCUGAGCAUCCUCCCAGCCCACMUUUCCCACCUAUCAACCACUUUGUGGGCUAAAGAGCCCGAGGACAGGCUUAGAUGUGUUUAAAUGAAUUGCCCUUGUAUUUUCUGCCUACAUGGCAGGCAUUGGGUAGUCUGCUUUUGCGGUUUAAUUGCGUAGCAUUCCUCACGUGGGACAUGAGUCUGGGUUUGACUGGGCUGGCUGCACGGGUAAGUACGGAUCCACACAUGGAGUGGACAUGCUUUGACUCCCUGUCUCCCAUGAGCCCUGCUGGUCCUCAGAGCUGGCUCGGAUUAGGACCUGCCGGUUUUGUAGAACCACUCCACCACAUGGGCUUGACUGUAAACAUCUGCCUGCUCUGAUUGCUUUGAAUGAUGCCCUCUUAGCUUGGAGUCCUCUUGGGUAGCAGCUUCAAUCACCCACUUCUGAAUUCACCUGAGAAGCUUCAGGAGAAAUAUCUGGUUUGAACAGUUAUUGCAGAUCUUCCAGCUGCUCUUGCUGGCUCSUUACAGGUUGGUAUGAGGCCAGACUUGAAGAAAUGCCUAGUGGAUGUAGCCUGAGUUUCCAGUGGUCAGUACCAGAAACCUUGAUAACAUGCAGCUGAUCAUGGUUCUUCAUACCGAAGCUACACUCCCCAGGCUGGGAGGAGCCAUCCUUCAGAGAGAAGGUCACCUCAGAGCUUCCAUGCACAAGGUAGCAGACAUGUGCUGAGUGUGUGCUGCAGCUCUACAGCGUAGAACCAUCACCUGAACAUCACCACAUCAGCAAAACCACACACUGAGGGCCAUGUCCUCUCACUUCUUGAACACUUCCAGAAAUGGUGACUCCACACUUCCUUGGUCAGCCUGCUCCAAUCCCUGACCACCCAUUCCAUGGAGAAAUUCAUCCUGAUGUUCAUCCUGAACCUCUCCUGAYGCAGCUUAAAUCCAUGUCUUUUUAUCCUGUUGCUUGUUGCCUGGGACAAGAAGCUGACACCCACCUUGCUACAACCUCCCCUGAACCUCCUUUACUCCAGCCAAAACAACUCAGGUUCUCUCAGCUGCUCCCCGCAUGACUUACUCACCAAGCAGUUUGUCUUUUACAUCACGGAAUUAGGACAAGAAAUUGCUCAGCUCUGUCCUUCAGGCUGCCUUCCUGGAGCAACCCUGUAUUUCAGACUUCUGACAAACACAGUGACGGUGGGAGUGGAUGGUGGUUCAAGCUGUCUCUGAACAUCCUGCUGUCCCCCUGUUACCUUUUGCAUGAGAAGCUGCUAUAACAUACAUCAUUUGGAAUGCGAGGCAUCCAUGUUUCCUAUCCAGUGCCACCACCCAGCCCAAGGCCAGCACGCAGGCACUGAUCCAUGUUGUCAGGGUAACAUAAGCAAUAAUCAUUUGAAGUUUGUGAACCCACGGGAUGAAAACCACAUGCAGUAUUUGCUACAAAACUGUUUUGAUUUGAGAGAUUCAGUUAAAUACUGACUCAGUGGUUAGGAUAUGUAGGUUGGGAUUGCGGCGAUAAACAGUUCAGCGUUACAUCAGUUAGUCAGAAGCAGCAAUGAAAGAAGGCCCACACUAUUUCUAAUGCCUCCCUGAUGGCAUUUAAUUGGAAGGAUCUGGGUUGCCAGAAUGCAUGUUGAGAUGGUCCCUUGCAUAAUCUCUGGCAGGUGGGGGGCAGGUUUCUACUUUUAUGCCAUUGUUUUUGCCACAAGUAAUGUUACAAGUGACUCCUUUGUUCUUGUGUAUCAGUUACAUUUUACAUAAUUAAAGCUAAUUACUAGGUACGAAUAAAUCUGAUUCUGGUGGGAAUAAGUCRUACUUACCAUAUUUACUCUCUCCAUUAUUGACCUUUCCUGUGAAAAGCUUUAUAAAGCCACACUUCAGAAAAAAGGUGUGCUUGCCCCUGUGCUGAAUGGUUUGUGGUGCAGUCUGACACACUCCAAAUUACAGUCGCUAGAGUCUAAAAAUCUCYUGUUGACUUCAGGUCUUAGAAGACAAGAGAGAUAAAGUUUGUACAACACUCUAAGACACAUGGUGUGAUUCUUGGCAUUGUGCGGGGUCAGGAGUUUGACUCCUUUUGUGUCCAUUCUAACUCAUGAGAUUCUAUGCUUCUAUGAAUGUCGACCCGUGGCUCUGGUUUAAAUGCUGUCCAUCACUUCACUGGUUGGUACAGAAGGAGGACCUUUAGCUGGUGUGCCAAAGACAUUCUGAUUGUUCAUGUCUGCUUUCCAUUUCCAGCUAUUAAACAACA